GCGAGGCCCACAGACACAGCAGAGAUGUUAAGAUCUUGAUGUCACAUGUGCAGUGAUUGUGGCUUUGCUUAUGACCUAGCCCUGUGGCCAUAGUCCCAGCAAGGCCAGUCACCUUGUUACAGGGCGCUUUUGGGCUGUGUGGUACCAGCUCCCCUACUGAUUACCACACCUGAUAAAAGCAACAGUUUCUCACAGUGCAUUUUUCAUACACCACCAAGUUGAUCACAAAUGAAGUCGUGAUGAUGACCGCCAUUUUAAAGGCAGGGAAACUGAGGAAUCUGAGCCAUAGAAGACAUCCAGUGACUUGGACCUGGGUCACGAUGCAAUUAAAUCUGCCAGCCAAGUGCCAGGGUCGGUUUCAUUUGUAAGCAAAAGGGCAGCUGUCAAUAGACUGCAUGAUCUAAGGCACCAAUCCAGAGAAAUCUUAAGCACGUGAGCGCCAGGGAGCAAGGAUGGGAUUCAGGGUUGUUGAAUUGGGGCCAGGAGCCUAAACCAGGCUUUAUUUCAUGUUGCAUCAUAAUUCUAUUGUGUGAAUGAGAGGGAAGCAUUUAUAAAUUGGAGGAUGGAAGGAGAAGAAGAAGAAAACAUGUCUACUUCUUGUCCAGUAAUGUUAGCAGUAUAUUUAUAAAACCAAAACAGGACUAAUCUUCACUCCUCUGUGCCUCUCAGGGAGCCCUAUGUUGUCUGUUUUGUUUAGAUUGUGCACUCUUCAUG